rnacentral:rRNA from 1 species
UACGUAGGUGGCAAGCGUUGUCCGGAUUUACUGGGCGUAACGAGCGCGCAGGCGGUCGUUCAAGUCGCGUGUGAAAGCCCCCGGCUCAACUGGGGAGGGUCACGCGAUACUGAUCGACUCGAAGGCAGGAGAGGGUAGUGGAAUUCCCGGUGUAGUGGUGAAAUGCGUAGAUAUCGGGAGGAACACCAGUGGCGAAGGCGACUACCUGGCCUGUUUCUUGACGCUGAGGCGCGAAAGCUAGGGGAGCAAACGGG